GGAGAGGUGGCCGAGCGGUCGAAGGCGCACGCCUGGAAAGCGUGUAUACCCGGAAGGGUAUCGCGGGUUCGAAUCCCGCUCUCUCCG
rnacentral:tRNA from 1 species